AACGCUAGCUACAGGCUUAACACAUGCAAGUCGAGGGGUAACGAAAGGGAAGCUUGCUUUCCUUGUCGACGACCGGCGCACGGGUGAGUAACGCGUAUCCAACCUGCCCACCACUUGGGGAUAACCUUGCGAAAGUAAGACUAAUACCCAAUGACGUCUCUAGAAGACAUCUGAAAGAGAUUAAAGAUUUAUCGGUGAUGGAUGGGGAUGCGUCUGAUUAGCUUGUUGGCGGGGUAACGGCCCACCAAGGCGACGAUCAGUAGGGGUUCUGAGAGGAAGGUCCCCCACAUUGGAACUGAGACACGGUCCAAACUCCUACGGGAGGCAGCAGUGAGGAAUAUUGGUCAAUGGACGAGAGUCUGAACCAGCCAAGUAGCGUGCAGGAUGACGGCCCUAUGGGUUGUAAACUGCUUUUAUAAGGGAAUAAAGUGAGCCUCGUGAGGCUUUUUGCAUGUACCUUAUGAAUAAGGACCGGCUAAUUCCGUGCCAGCAGCCGCGGUAAUACGGAAGGUCCGGGCGUUAUCCGGAUUUAUUGGGUUUAAAGGGAGCGUAGGCCGGAGAUUAAGCGUGUUGUGAAAUGUAGGCGCUCAACGUCUGCACUGCAGCGCGAACUGGUUUCCUUGAGUACGCACAAAGUGGGCGGAAUUCGUGGUGUAGCGGUGAAAUGCUUAGAUAUCACGAAGAACUCCGAUUG
rnacentral:rRNA from 1 species